ensembl:snoRNA
AGCCAGUGAAGACUUCUUACUAUUUAUUUUCUGACACCUACUAUGAGAGCUGCACUGCAGCUUUUGAUUACAAACUUUUGUCUGAGGCUU